GACGAACGCUGGCGGCGUGCCUAAUACAUGCAAGUCGAGCGAAGUUUUUCUGGUGCUUGCACCGGAAAAACUUAGCGGCGAACGGGUGAGUAACACGUAAAGAACCUGCCUCAUAGACUGGGACAACUAUUGGAAACGAUAGCUAAUACCGGAUAACAGCAUUAACUGCAUGGUUGAUGUUUAAAAGUUGGUUUUGCUAACACUAUGAGAUGGCUUUGCGGUGCAUUAGCUAGUUGGUGGGGUAAAGGCCUACCAAGGCGACGACGCAUAGCCGACCUGAGAGGGUGAUCGGCCACACUGGGACUGAGACACGGCCCAGACUCCUACGGGAGGCAGCAGUAGGGAAUCUUCCGCAAUGGGCGAAAGCCUGACGGAGCAACGCCGCGUGAGUGAAGAAGGAUUUCGGUUCGUAAAGCUCUGUUGUUAGGGAAGAAUGAUUGUGUAGUAACUAUACACAGUAGAGACGGUACCUAACCAGAAAGCCACGGCUAACUACGUG
rnacentral:rRNA from 1 species